UACAGAGGGUGCAAGCGUUGUUCGGAAUUAUUGGGCGUAAAGGGAGUGUAGGCGGUUUGAUAAGUCUUCUGUGAAAUCUACGGGCUUAGCCUGUAAAGUGCAGAGGAAACUGUCAGACUUGAGUGUCGGAGAGGGCAGGGGAAUACCCAGUGUAGAGGUGAAAUUCGUAGAGAUUGGGUGGAACACCAGUGGCGAAGGCGCCUGCCUGGCUGAUAACUGACGCUGAAACUCGAAAGCAUGGGGAGCAAACAGG
rnacentral:rRNA from 1 species